GGCCCCGAACAUUCUGUCUUGGUCCUACACAACCCCUCUGUGCUUUCAAAUCUACUUAAUUACCCUACUGCCUUCCACUUCUGCAAAAAGUUAUCUUGCCCACGCCUAGCUUUUUCCUUUUAUGCUAAUUCUCCUUCCUCCUUUCUUCCUCAGAGCUUCUUAGCUCAGCUUUCUCAGCUGUUCCUACCACCACCCAGCCAAAUCAGUGAACAAGUGAAACAACCUGCUGUCUACUUCUGUCUUUUCACCUACAGUUAAUUCUCAAUGUGGCAGACAGUAGAAUCUGUUUUAAAAUGUGCGUCAAGUUGUGCUAUGUUUUUGUUCUCAACCCUCCAGCAACUUCCUAUCUGCCUGAAGGAGGGCAUCAGGGUCACAGGUGACAUGGUUCAUCCCUCCCCUUUCUGAUGUCUUCCCUUACUGCCUCCCUCCUUGCUGUGCCUCAGACAAGAGGAAAAAUUUUUAAAAGUCACCUUGGACUGAAGACCAGCAUCAGUUUAUAUGGUGUGAGUUCUUUCCAUUUGCCUUAGAUUGCACCUACACUGACAGAAGAAAGUAAAAAGAUCCAGCAGUUGAGGGAGCACUGGCUUCAUGGUUGAGUCAUCAUUUUGCUAAAUUAUGUAAUAAAUUCAUAAAUACUAACAGUGGAAAAACUAAACAGUGGAGGGAAAAUCCACUGUUUAUCUUCAUCUCCCAGUCUCCCAGUAUUUCACCAGUGGUAUCAAUUAUGAAAUGUCAGACUCAUAGGGAAUGGGAGACAGAGCUGGUCAAUGAUCUGACCAAGCAUCUGAUGAUGAUAAUGUUUUUAUUAUAUAAGGAGACACUUAAAACUGUAUAAAUAGACAUUUUAUUGUUUUCCUCUAAAUGUGUUUAACUCUAAAAAUGUUUUAGUGCAAAAUGUGUUAGCAGUUAGCAAUUGUUUGUUAUACUAGUGAUCCAACAUCUGUUAACAAUGAGGUUCUGGCAUACCAUCUGUAUUAGUCCAUUCUCAUGCUGCUAUAAAGAACUGCCUGAGACUGGGUAAUUUACAAAGAAAGGAGGUUUAAUUGACUCACAGUUCUGUGGGGCUGGGGACACCUAGAAAAUUUACAAGUAUGGUAGAAGGGGAAGCAAACACAUCCUUCUUCACAUGCUGGCAAGAGAGAGAAUGAGAACCAAGUGAAGCGGGGAGUCCCUUAUAAAACCAUCAAAUCUUGUGAAAACUUACUCAUUAUCAUGAGAAUAGCAUGAGGGUAAUCACCCCCAUGAUUCAAUUAUCUCCCACUGGGUCCCACCCAUGACACUUGGGGAUUAUGGAAACUACAAUUCAAGAUGAGAUUUGGGUGGGGACACAGCCAAACCAUAUCACCAUCCCACAUGAGUAAUUCUGAAGAAAAGGAAGCCAGAGUAGCAGGGUAGCAGUCACCCCAAAAUAACCCUGAGACUACAGCUUUGGGCAGAGCAACCCCUAGGCAAAAGCUAUGAAGUGAGCAGAGCUGUUUAUCCAUUAACUCAUCUGUUCUAUACCCAUCUAUACUGGCUGUGAUAUUCCAACAUUAUGCACAAGGAUAAACAAGAUUUACUUCCUGCCCAAAGAAAUUUACACAUUUUAGCUUCCUUCCUAAAGUCAGCUUCCUGAAUUUUCUACACUUACACACCCAUAAGGCCAGUAUCCUACUGUUCUUUGGCCUCUUGAUUUCCUCCUCUUAUCAAAAACUCUUCUUAAUUAGCUACAAGUUGGGAGUAAACCAAUAGUUAAUUCAUACUAAGGUGUAAAAGACUAUAUGGCUGAACACAUUGUAUUCUACUAUCUUUCUCAGACGUGUUUGCAUUUUUAGAGAAAGGAAGCCUUAAAUUUGAAGCUGUGAAACUAAUGGUGGAACUCCAGGUAUUAGUAAAGCAA
rnacentral:lncRNA from 10 species